rnacentral:rRNA from 1 species
GCGCGAAAACUUUACAAUGCUGGCAACAGCGAUAAGGGAACCUCGAGUGCCAGGUUACAAAUCUGGCUGUCGAGAUGCCUAAAAAGCGUUUCAUAGCAAGGGCCGGGCAAGACCGGUGCCAGCCGCCGCGGUAACACCGGCGGCUCGAGUGGUAACCGUUAUUAUUGGGUCUAAAGGGUCUGUAGCCGGCCGGAUAAGUCUCUUGAGAAAUCUGGCAGCUUAACUGUCAGGCUUUCAGGAGAUACUGUCUGGCUCGAGGCCGGGAGAGGUGAGAGGUACUUCAGGGGUAGGGGUGAAAUCUUGUAAUCCUUGAAGGACCACCAGUGGCGAAGGCGUCUCACCAGAACGGACCUGACGGCAAGGGACGAAAGCUAGGGGCACGAACCG